GACGAACGCUGGCGGCGUGCUUAACACAUGCAAGUCGAACGGAAAGGCCCCUUUGGGGGUCCUCGAGUGGCGAACGGGUGCGUAACACGUGAGUAACCUGCCCUUGACUUCGGGAUAACUUCAGGAAACUGGGGCUAAUACCGGAUAGGAAUCCUUGCUGCAUGGUGGGGGUUGGAAAGCUUCGGCGGUCUUGGAUGGACUCGCGGCUUAUCAGCUUGUUGGUGGGGUAGUGGCUUACCAAGGCGUUGACGGGUAGCCGGCCUGAGAGGGCGACCGGCCACAGUGGGACUGAGAGACGGCCCAGACUCCUACGGGAGGCAGCAGUGGGGAAUAUUGCACAAUGGGCGGAAGCCUGAUGCAGCAACGCCGCGGGCGGGAUGACGGCCUUCGGGUUGUAAACCGCUUUCAGCAGGGGCGAAGCUUGUGGUGACGGUACCUGCAGAAGAAGCACCGGCUAACUACGUG
rnacentral:rRNA from 1 species